GUGUCAGCCGCCGCGGUAAUACGGAGGAUGCAAGCGUUAUCCGGAAUCAUUGGGCGUAAAGAGUCCGUAGGUGGCACUUCAAGUCUGCUUUCAAAGACCGAAGCUCAACUUCGGAAAGGGAGUGGAAACUGAAGAGCUAGAGUAUAGUAGGGGUAGAGGGAAUUCCUAGUGUAGCGGUGAAAUGCGUAGAGAUUAGGAAGAACACCAGUGGCGAAGGCGCUCUACUGGGCAUAUACUGACACUGAGGGACGAAAGCUAGGGGAGCGAAUGGGAUUAGAUACCCCAGUAGUCCUAGCUGUAAACGGUGGAUACUAGGCGUUGCUUGUAUCGACCCAAGCAGUGCCGUAGCUAACGCGUUAAGUAUCCCGCCUGGGGAGUACGCACGCAAGUGUGAAACUCAAAUGAAUUGACGGGG
rnacentral:rRNA from 1 species